AAGGAAAAACCGAUAGUCGUUGGGGUCCCAGGGUGCUGAAAUGUUGACCUCGAACCGGAAAGCGCAGCGUUUGGAAGACCCCCCAAUCUAG